ACGGUUCUGGGACUCAGAGAAAGUAUAUAUUACUUGUUAGGUGGGAAGUCACUUGCUGUAAAAUUCGCUAAUAAUGGGCAUCCCACUCCUUGAGUGAUUCCUUUGCUCAGGAGUCAAAGAUUUCAUGGAUGGUAUGGGCCUUGGGAUGCUUGCGGAACAGAUGAAACAUAAGAUAUCUUCAGCCACCUCUCAGCUAUCAAAUCUGUCUUUGGGCAAGAGCAACCUCAACUGGGCAUAGCUGACAAAUUAGAGUGCCUCAGAGAGACGAUCAUUAAAGUGCGUGAGCUUUUCCACGAAACUGAUUCCACAGAGUUUGUCAUAGUAACAAUACCCCGGUAAGAUCUUUGCAAAUGUGAUCCUUGCUUCUCCUUAACCUUUGUGUGUUUCUUUUUAAUGAUGGUUGAAGUUAGGAGAGUGAAAACUGGGAUAAUUACUAGACACAUCUCCUCCUGAUUUGGAUGAAGCUAUUGUAAUUUCCAAGCUUAAACAUAAGAUAUCUUCAGCCACCUCAGCUAUCAAAUCUGUCUUGGGCAAGAGCAACCUCAACUGCGUGCAGCUGACAAAUUAAAGCGACUCAGAGAGACGAUGAUUAAAGUGUGCGAGCUUUUCAGCGAUACUGAUUCUACAGAGUUUGUCAUAUUAACAAUACCCACGAUACACCCUGAGAAGGCAAGGAAAGAAUUCCGUAAUGUCGGUCAGCUUUAAUGGUGGAACAGAAGCCAAAGAUUUCAUGGAUGGUAUAUGGUCCUUGGGAUGCUUGCAGAACAGUUAGGAGUGAAAACUGGGAUAAUUACUAGACACAUCUCCUCCAAGUUUGGAUGAAGCUAUUGCAAUUUCCGAGCUUAAACAGAAGAUAUCUUCAGCCACUCAGGUCAGCUAUCAAAUCUGUCUUUGGGCAAGAGCAACCUCAACUGGGAGCAGUAAGGCUGAUGCUUUGAGCUGCUUUUAUACUCUGAUUUCUAGACAAGUAUGCUAGCCUUCUAAUUUUAAACUUCAAUGCAGGCUGACAAAUUAGAGUGACUCAGGGCGAUACUGAUUCCCCAAAGUUUGUCAUAGUAACAAUACCCACGGUGAUGGCAGUCAGUGAGUCAUCUAGGUUGCAUGCCUCUUUGAAAAAAAAAAGAUAAGUUGAUGAAGUGAUCUUAAACAUAGAUUGAGAUCAAGAUGUAAUCAUGAAGUAUAGGGCUUAUCAUUUUAGUUCAAUUUUCAAUUUUAUAUAUGUGAUGAACUCUGCAUAGAUUGCAUUAAGAUCAACAGUGUGUGUUGGGAAAUUGGGUUAGACUUUGUUCACUGCCAAACCCUAAACCAAAUCUCCUAUAAGAUACAUCCUAUAAAACCCUGGUGCAAAUGGGACACUGUAAAGGAAUCGACCUUGGACGCCUGGGUAAAGAUAUGAUAGCCAGGUCACUUGACCCGGUUUGAAACCGAGGUACCUGGGCCAUUGUUCAUGUACUCAGCAUAAAACAGAGUGCUUAGAGAUUUCCCAUUCCACUCCAGCAAACCCUCUGGCCUUAUAACGUUACUCAUAGAUGACUUCAUGAUCACGGUACGUGCAUAUUUGCCCCAAGGUCGACCCAAGUAGGUGGGACGGGGAUUUUUGCCAUCCCACUGAGGCUUUCUUCGGACCACUAAACUCCAACUCUGGAGAUUCCAACUGCUUAUAAUAUUAUUAAGAGACAUAUUAGGAAAAGGCAGAACAUGGUCAUGCUCAUGAUCAUGAUCAUGAUCAUGAUGCAGAAAUAAGAGUUUUUUUCUUAUUUUAAUAUGAUGUGGACAAAAAUAUUGGGUGUCCUUUUUAUUGGCUGGGGAUGCCAGCUCAGUCGCCCCAUAUGUGACAGGCAAGUUUAUCUCCUUUUUGACAGGGUAUUAUUGUGGCUGGCUGCUUUUAAAGAUGAUGAAGGGGUAUAUAUAUAGCAUAUUAGCAUGCAUGAGGGAGCACGGCAGAGAGAGCAAAGAACCAGGCAAGGGAAAGGCAGUGAGGAAAAACAGCUCAGAGGGUGAGAGAGAACUUGAGUUUGUGCAGUGCUGUGAGCAAGAGAGGGUAUUUUCUCUUGGGGUCAGAGUCAUCUUCAUGGGUUAGACGGAUUAUAAAAAGUGCGUGUAAGGAGUGCAUUCUAUUGGAUAUGAGGUCGGAUUUGGGUACAAAACUAUUGAGUGGUUAUUUUUGUACGUACUUGUAUUUUUCUUUUGUUAUAGUGAAAGCGAUAACUCA